GAGGAAUAUUGGUCAAUGGGCGAGAGCCUGAACCAGCCAAGUCGCGUGAAGGAUGACUGUCUUAUGGAUUGUAAACUUCUUUUAUACGGGAAUAACAAGAGCCACGUGUGGCUCCCUGCAUGUAUCGUAUGAAUAAGCAUCGGCUAACUCCGUGCCAGCAGCCGCGGUAAUACGGAGGAUGCGAGCGUUAUCCGGAUUUAUUGGGUUUAAAGGGUGCGUAGGCGGCCUGUUAAGUCAGCGGUGAAAUCUAGGAGCUUAACUCCUAAAUUGCCAUUGAUACUGGCGGGCUUGAGUGUAGAUGAGGUAGGCGGAAUGCGUGGUGUAGCGGUGGAAUGCAUAGAUAUCACGCAGAACUCCGAUUGCGAAGGCAGCUUACUAAGGUACAACUGACGCUGAAGCACGAAAGCGUGGGUAUCAAACAGGAUUAGAUACCCUGGUAGUCCACGCAGUAAACGAUGAUAACUGGGCGUAUGCGAUAUACAGUAUGCUCCUAAGCGAAAGCGUUAAGUUAUCCACCUGGGGAGUACGCCGGCAACGGUG
rnacentral:rRNA from 1 species